ensembl:lncRNA
GUAAAGGAGCAAGAGCAGGGUAGGGGACGUAAAGGAGCAGGAGGAUGGCAGGGGACGUAAAGGAGCAAGAGCAGGGCAGAGGACGUAAAGGAGCAGGGCAGGGGACGUAAAGGAGCAAGAGCAGGGCAGGGGAUGUAAAGGAGCAGGAGGAGGGCAGGGGACGUAAAGGAGCAGGAGGAUGGCAGGGGACGUAAAGGAGCAGGAUGAUGGCAGGGGACGUAAAGGAGCAGGAGGAUGGCAGGGGACGUAAAGGAGCAGGAGGAGGGCAAGGGACGUAAAGGAGCAGGAGGAGGGCAGGGGAGGUAAAGGACCAGGAGGAGGGCAGGGGACGUAAAGGAGCAGGAGCAGGGCAGGGGACGUAAAGGAGCAGGGAGAUGGGCAGGGGAGGUAAAGGAGCAGGGAGAUGGGCAGGGGAGGUAAAGGAGCAGGGAGAUGGCAGGGGAGGUAAAGGACCAGGAGCAGAGCAGGGGAGGUAAAGAAGCAGGAGGAGGGCAGGGGACGUAAAGGAGCAGGAGGAGGGCAGGGGACGUAAAGGAGCAGGAGGAGGGCAGGGGACGUAAAGGAGCAGGAGGAGGGCAGGGGACGUAAAGGAGCAAGAGCAGGGUAGGGGACGUAAAGGAGCAGGAGGAUGGCAGGGGACUUAAAG